CAAGCUUAAGCAGCAGAAAAGGCUUGAGAAACGUAAGAGGGCCAAGGCUCGUGAAGCGGCUGAGCAGAGAGCUCUUGAGCUUGGCGAGGAGCCUCCGCCGAGGAAAAUCCCUCGCACAAUUGAAAAUACCAGGGAGCUUGACGAGACUAUCUGCAAGCCUGACGAUGAAGAGCUAUUUGCUG